GCCAGCUGCCACCAUGACAAGACGCAUGUGAAGACACCGAAUGUCACACAGAGAAGCUAUCACACUUGGUGACAUUUUGUGUGGAGAUGCAAACAAACAUUACUCCCCUGACUCAAAGUGCCAGAAUAGAGUAAGGACGCCACCCAAGUCCAAAGUGGUAAACCUAUCCCUCUAUGAGUAAAGAUUUCUGGAUUCAGAAAGAAUGUGUGAAGCGUCUUCGAUUCAAAUGUCCAUCACGUCUUUACAUACAAAUGGUUGAGCAGAUCCCUUCUUCCUGGUGUCCUGCUUCAUUCUAAAGACAGCAUGAUUGGCUAAUGCGUCCUCCUUCAUCUAUAAAGCACCAUCAGUUUCCUUUGGAAAACGAAGCAUCAUUUGGUAGGAUUCUGCAGUGGAUGCCAUCAUUGCAAAUUGGGUGCAAGCCCAGCAAGAGCUGCAUGACAGGUUGACACAGGAGACGACAACGCUUCUGUGCCCACCAGACAGCCUGCCCAGGAGAAACACUGAUUCUUACUGAGUGAACACCUCCUAACUAAAUGAGAAAAGCAGUCUGAAGACCUGUGGUGACAAUGGUCGAUUGGAAGAGCAACAAGUAUGACAGUCGUACAACAAUGGGAAGGGCCGAGGAGAUAUAUGUUUAAUGAUAUAAAAAGGGCAGGCCUCCCAUGGGUGUCAACAAAGCAUGGCAUAUCCAGUUGAGGCAGAACCCAGCUCCUCCCCUGCAUCAAUGGCCUAAUCACAAAGAAUAACAGCAAAGAGAAAAGGCCGCUGAGACCAUUGAGAAUCUGACAACCAUGCUAGACAGGAGGAUGGAGAGUCUGCCAAUCAGGCUCAAGUGCUGAUGAUCAUGAUGUGUUUUGAAAUGAUUGAAGAAUCCAGGAACUAAAGACCAGCAAUUUGUUUCCCAAGUAAAGUCUCCAGAAAGAACCAUGUUCCUAAUUGUUUAAAAUCUACUUUCUUUUUUGA